CCGCACUCCAUCAUUGUUCAGCCGAUAAUUGCGCGAGUUCGACGUGACACUUCGAUGUUAUCUCCUUUACAAGAAAAAAACCCAUUUCCGCGGCAAAGCAAACGAUGAUAAAAAAAGCGUACAAGAGAUUCGCGACGAUAUUUUCGCGAAGGGAAAAUUUUGAUUACAAUGAGAAAUUUCAAUUACUAUUGAAUAUUUAUUAUAAUUUUUCUUUUAAGUUUUUUUAUCAAUUCCAUCGUUUCCAACAGACAGCAGUCGAACCGGAUCCAAACCAUCUAGUCAAAAUGCACGUUUUUACAACCAGGCCACCGAAUAUGGAUUAAGAUUCAUGCCUCGUAAAUUGAUAGAUGGAUUGUAUCACAUAUAGAUCCCGUGGUCUGUGCCAUAUGGUCUGCAGUUUUACCACAGACUAAGAGUAGAUAGGAGUAGAUUUUCUACUCCUAGUCUGUGGUUUUACCUCGUGAUGUUUGUUGCAUCAAGCCAUUUGAGAUGAAAAGCUGUUAGCUGUGGAUAAAAUUCAUUCCUGAGAAAGUACUGGAUGAUAAAUGUGCAUUCAAAGACUGGAUUUCUAUACCUCAAUGACUGCUCCCAAAAUAUUAUGAUGAAAAAUAACUUUAAAAGUUUUCUUAUUGAACCCACAGUUUGAUUAGUGGAACCUGUUGCAAUUAAUCUUAUUUCCAACAAAGUAGUUCAUUGUCGUAGAUUUGUACUAUACUCAAGAUAUGGUUGAAUUGAUUGCUGACCCUGUU